GAACACAACGCUGGGAUCUUCAGAGCAAGAUUGGCUUAGGGCAGAGCGCAUUGCUGGGCUAGAUCCCGGGAUCUCAGACUGCUGGGCAGCCACAAUGUCGGCCCCAGUCCUCAAAGACGAGUGAUGAGUUCCCCAUUCUCAGGAGCUGCCUUGCUGCAGCCUUAGUUUCCCCACUAAGGUGCGCUGGAGAAGGCCGAGGCUCCUCCCGCCGCCCGCUUUCUUUCGGACGAAGGAAGAGCGCCCAGACUUGGCCCCUUUGGGAAUGCAGGCUGCAGCGCCUACGGUCAUUGUACGAGGAGGACGCAGCCCAGGAGAUCCGUCCACCAAUGCAUCUUCCUGCAGGCCUGUACCCGCACAGGAUGCAGCUUCCGUCCCUGCCCGUGUUCCCGCUGUGACUCAUCUACGCUGGACGGGAAGAUGGAGGGCCAGGAGAUGGAGGGCCCAGUGUCCUGGUAGGCCCUCAGAGCCACGCAGGACAGCAUGACCUCCUCUUCUCUGGUCCUUUCACCUGUUAACUUUCUCUAGAAAUGGAAUGACCUAAAAUGUCACAGGGAUCCAGAGAAGGGACACAGAUUGUGGCCUCCUUUGGGCUGGUGGGGGUCAGAGCCCAACAGGAGCUCCCAGGCAGGGCUAGGGUGAUGGGGUGGUCUGCUGCUCUGGCCUAUUUCUGGGACUCCAUCGGCUGGUUCCCAGCUCUUUCGAGUGGGGCAGAGUUGAGAGGGGACAGAGACCCCAGUGCCCCAAUCCAGCAGGGCCCAGGGGCAGGCAGCAGGCGUCUUGGUGCUAAGCUCUGGCCUCUGCAUUCCCACCUCCUCCUCCCUACCCCAGUGCAGCUGCCAGCUGGAUCUUCUGAGGUACUGCACAGCCUUGUUUUGCCCAGGAACUUGCAAAUGGCCUCAAGCCCAGAAUCCCUGGGCUUUCAUUUAAGUCCUAGUUUUCCCUAACUUCCUCCUCUCACCUGGAUUGUUUCCCCCUCAUCACCACCAUACAGUUUAUCUUUGAGUGUGAACUCCUGAUCUUCCUCAGGAUCAUCUUUCUGAUCUCUGACCAGCCAAACCUGUCCACCCCUCAAAGUAUAGCUAAAAUUCCACUCCCUCCCCAAGCUCCAUAACCCCUUAUGUGUUCUAGUACUCUCAGUUUGAUGCUAUCUGAAUGUAGUCUUCUCAAAAGAAGUUUAAAUAAGUUUGUUUAAAUAAAUUUAACAGUUUAUAUAUGUUAGUCCCUUUUUAAUGAGAAAGGGCAGGGCCUGUAAUCCCAGCAUUCACUUGAGUGUGGGAGUUUAAGACUAGCCUGGACAACACAGGGAGGCUAUCUCAAAAUAAAAGUGGAAACAAAUGAGGAAGCAAAUCCUUUACCAGGCCAUGUAUCCCAAUUUAUGAAUUGAAAAAUGUGUCUUCCCUGAUAACUCCCCUUCCUAUGCCUUGUGUCUCUUACUAGAUGGUUACUUGUCCCAGUACAGAAACUAUGCCUUAAUAAAUAUGCAAAACUUCUAAA